rnacentral:rRNA from 1 species
UGGGGAAUAUUGCACAAUGGGGGAAACCCUGAUGCAGCGACGCCGCGUGAGCGAAGAAGUAUUUCGGUAUGUAAAGCUCUAUCAGCAGGGAAGAAAAUGACGGUACCUGACUAAGAAGCCCCGGCUAACUACGUGCCAGCAGCCGCGGUAAUACGUAGGGGGCAAGCGUUAUCCGGAUUUACUGGGUGUAAAGGGAGCGUAGACGGCGAGGCAAGUCUGAUGUGAAAACCCGGGGCUCAACCCCGUGACUGCAUUGGAAACUGUUUUGCUUGAGUGCCGGAGAGGUAAGCGGAAUUCCUAGUGUAGCGGUGAAAUGCGUAGAUAUUAGGAGGAACACCAGUGGCGAAGGCGGCUUACUGGACGGCAACUGACGUUGAGGCUCGAAAGCGUGGGGAGCAAACAGG